rnacentral:lncRNA from 1 species
GACAUCUUCAAGGGUGAGCAGUGGAUCCUUGUGCACUGGGAGUAAUAAAACCUCACCACAAGGAAGACUGAUGAAGGAUUAUGAGGUCAAGGGGAAACAUCUCCACCUGGUUCCCCAGUCCCAACCCUUACACUGAUAAAGCUUCUCUCUGAUUAAUCAUCUGUGCUGGCAACCCGAGGAGACAGAGGCCAACAAACCCGAAAUGAACUAUUAUCCCGGUGAGGUGGCAGGCAACUGAUUAACUGAAGCAAGCCCGGGUGGCUGCCUGUCCGGUCCGGAGAAAAUGCAAAUCUUUUCUCCACCAGAGGGCCUGAGCCUGUAGUCCCGUCCUGGUCCUGGAGAUGGGCAGCUCUUCGCGGACAAAUCCGGUGGAGUGCGGCGGUGCGGCCGGGGCGGGGCAGGGGGAGGGGAGGGAUGUCAAGGGCUUGGAUGAGUUAUGUAACCAGGACCCAUACUGGCCCUUUCUCAAAUAUCAGGCCACAGAUUUAUUUCGAGGACUUUGGCGAAAAGAGCUCCUGGAAGCGCAUAUGCAGAGAUUAAUGGAGCACCGCACAGUUGGACAGGAACUGGGAAGUGCCGCUCAGCUUGGUGGCGUCGCUGGAUCAUUCGAGCCAGGGGAGGCAAAUGCAACCAAAGAAACACCUCAAGAUGCCCAGUAAGGAGUUGAUGGCUAGGAAAAAAAAAAUGUCAUUAUCCCAGCAGAGAAACCUAUCACCUGCUCUGAUUUUCCCCUUCCUGUUUCUUCAGUUUAAGGCACUUUGUUCAUCUUUGGGGAAAGUACAAAGGUAGGCU